rnacentral:rRNA from 1 species
CAAGUCGAACGCGAAAGCGGGGGCAACUCCGCAAGUAGAGUGGCGAACGGGUGAGUAAUGCAUCGGAACGUGCCCAGUCGUGGGGGAUAACCAGUCGAAAGACUGGCUAAUACCGCAUGAGACCUGAGGGUGAAAGCAGGGGAUCCGCAAGGACCUUGCGCGACUGGAGCGGCCGAUGCCGGAUUAGCUAGUUGGUGGGGUAAAAGCCCACCAAGGCGACGAUCCGUAGCUGGUCUGAGAGGACGAUCAGCCACACUGGAACUGAGACACGGUCCAGACUCCUACGGGAGGCAGCAGUGGGGAAUUUUGGACAAUGGGCGCAAGCCUGAUCCAGCCAUGCCGCGUGAGUGAAGAAGGCCUUCGGGUUGUAAAGCUCUUUAGUCCGGGACGAAAUCGCACGCGUGAAUAUCGCGGGUGGAUGACGGUACCGGAAGAAUAAGCACCGGCUAACUACGUGCCAGCAGCCGCGGUAAUACGUAGGGUGCGAGCGUUAAUCGGAAUUACUGGGCGUAAAGCGUGCGCAGGUGGUUUUUUAAGUCAGACGUGAAAUCCCCGGGCUUAACCUGGGAACUACGUUUGAAACUGGAAGACUAGAGUGUGGCAGAGGGGGGUGGAAUUCCUGGUGUAGCAGUGAAAUGCGUAGAGAUCAGGAGGAACACCGAUGGCGAAGGCAGCCCCCUGGGCUAACACUGACGCUCAUGCACGAAAGCGUGGGGAGCAAACAGGAUUAGAUACCCUGGUAGUCCACGCCCUAAACUAUGUCAACUGGUUGUUGGGAGAGUUAAAUCUCUUAGUAACGAAGCUAACGUGUGAAGUUGACCGCCUGGGGAGUACGGCCGCAAGGUUAAAACUCAAAGGAAUUGACGG